rnacentral:rRNA from 1 species
GACGUAGGGGCGAGCGUUGUCCGGAAUUACUGGGCGUAAAGGGCGCGUAGGCGGUCAAUCAAGUCAGGUGUAAAAGACCCCGGGCUCAACCGGGGGGUAGGCAUCUGAAACUGAUUGGCUAGAGGGGCAGGAGGAGGGGAGGUGGAAGUUCCCGGUGUAGCGGUGAAAUGCGUAGAUAUCGGGAGGAAUACCAGUGGCGAAGGCGACUCUCUGGACUGGCCCUGACGCUGAGGCGCGAAAGCGUGGGGAGCGAACAGGAUUAGAUACCCCCCGUAGU